UGGUCUAGCGGUUAGAACGCUGGGCUUGUAAUCCUGGGGUCUCGGGUUCGAUUCCCGG
rfam:Zootermopsis nevadensis contig29342, whole genome shotgun sequence.